CCUACGGGGGGCAGCAGUGAGGAAUAUUGGUCAAUGGCCGGAAGGCUGAACCAGCCAUGCCGCGUGAAGGUCAGUGCCCUAUGGGCUUUAAACUUCUUUUGUGCGGGAGCAAUAAUGGUCACGUGUGGCCAGACGAGAGUACCGUACGAAUAAGCAUCGGCUAACUGCGUGCCAGCAGCCGCGGUAAUACGGGGGAUGCAAGCGUUAUCCGGAUUUAUUGGGUUUAAAGGGGGGCUAAGAUGGGAUGUAAGUCAGCGGUGAAAUGCCUCCGGUCAAAGGGGUGAAGUGCCAUUGAUACUGCCUGGCUGGAAUGCGGAUGCCGUGGGAGGAAUGUGUGGUGUAGCGGUGAAAUGCAUAGAUAUCACACAGAACACCGAUUGCGAAGGCAUCUCACGAAUCCGCGAUUGACGCUGAUGCACGAAAGCGUGGGUAUCAAACAGGAUUAGAUACCCUAGUAGUC
rnacentral:rRNA from 1 species